ensembl:snoRNA
ACGCAUCUAUUUGACAGACCUGGAACAGUUACUGUCUGCUGCUAAGGUCCCAGUGCAGAUGCAAGAAAAAACGGUCACUGUGCUUUCUUUCUGUCUGACUGGCAGCCAAGAUUGAAUGGGGGAAUACAAUG